rnacentral:lncRNA from 1 species
AAGAAUCAGGAGCAUUUUGUUCUAGUACAUGGAGCUUGCCAUGGGGCUUGGUGCUGGCAAAAGUUCAAAACGCUGCUUGAGUCAGCAAGUAACAGGGUCACGUUGCUUGACCUUGCUGCUUCAGGCGCCAACAUGAAGGCAAUCCAAGAUGUAGAAACACUUGAUGAAUAUACGGAGCCUUUGUUAGAGUUUCUGGCCUCAUUACAACCGAAGGAGAAGGUUAUUCUAGUAGGGCACAGCCUAGGAGGUUUGAGUUUGGCUCUUGCUAUGGAAAAGUUCCCAGAGAAGAUUGCUGUUGCUGUUUUCUUAUCAGCUUUCAUGCCAGAUACCACACACAAGCCAUCAUUUGUCUUGGAUCAGGUACUGCUAGAAAUAUUGGCAAAAAAAAAAUAUUAAUAAUUCUUUGAAGUGCUAUUUGAAAUUAUCAAUUGCUUCUCAAGUUGAAUUCUUCUCUAUUUUUUUUUCCCCUGAAUCUAUAAAGUUUAACGAGAGGACCCCGGCGGAUUACUGGUUGGACACUCAAUUUUUACCAUACAGCAGCUCUCAAUGUCAUCUCACAACAAUAGUUUUUGGACCCAAAUUCUUAUCCUCCAAGCUCUAUCAGCUAAGCCCACCUGAGGUACCUUUCUUAUCAACAUCUUCAAAUUCACAGUUACAUUAGUUGUGGACUUUAUAACAUGACAGUUAAAGUAGUCUUCUCUCUUCUUUACUCCUUUUGAUCAUGUCAAACCUGGUAGAGCAAGCGCGCUGCAGGUUUUACAUGAUUACUAAACAUGCCUUACUUUUGGAUUUUUCAAGGAUCUUGAGCAAGCAAAAACUUUGGUAAGGCCAGGAUCAAUGUUUCUGGAUGAUUUGUCAAAGGCAAACAGUUUCUCCACGACGGGCUAUGGGUCAGUCAAACGAGUAUAUGUUAUCUUUGACAAAGAUUUAGCGAUACCAGUAGAGUUUCAACGCUGGAUGAUUGAAAACAGUGCUGUUGAAGAAGUUAUGGAAAUUGAAGGUGCAGACCAUAUGGUUAUGUUCAGCAAGCCACAAGAACUCUUCCAUUGUCUCUCAGAGAUAGCAAAUAAACAUGCUUAAGCUGUCCUUAUCAGCACCCUUAGUUAUAGUGGUUUGCAGACAUAUGUAUCCAUUGAGACAAAAUAGAAAAAAGAAAAGAAGGAAACUAGGUUAUUUCCAACAAUAAUGAGUUAAUUGCUCACUUGGUCAAUAGAAUAAAGAGAAGAUAUGCUACUGUGUGUGUAUUUUUAAUGUAAAACGUUUUAUUUGUUAUUUUUGAAUUGUUAAAGGGUUGGUGUCUUUCCAUUAAUCUAUUGCAUAGUUAAAUAACUUUAUUAUUCUUAAAAACAAAUAAUUAGUUAACUAUAGUUUAGGGUUUUUUUGGCAUUUUAUAUUUUUUAUUUCAGUGUAAUUAUGAUAUUACCCUUAGAUUCAAAAUUUUUAAAGCUUGACAUUAGAGGCUAAAUCGUAAUUGAAAAGUUUUUUUUUUUAAUAAUGCUUGGGUCUGAAGGGUAGGAAGGUGUUUAUGAAAAAAUAAAAAAACCUAAAAGGCUGCUAAUGCGUGCAUUGCAUGUAUCAGCGCGUUACUGGCUUCGUUAUCUUCAUAAGGCGUGUGCUGCUUUGCAUACGACGAUUAAAAAAUUAAUUCUGCCAUAUCAUUCGAUUCAUCAUCAACUUAUCGAACCUCUGAUACGUCAUCAACAUCUUUUUUUCUUUUUCUUUUUCCUCCUAGAAAGCCAUGCCUAACCCUCCACUUUCUCAUAUUAGCCCUUCAAGUUCCUUUUCUUUUGAUUUUGUCCUUGAUUUUUUUAUAUUUAUUAGUUUUGUUUUAAUUCAUUUAUCAAAUUUUCUUUUGUUUUUAAUUGUAUCCUCAUUUAAUUUCUUUAUAUAUCAAAUUAUAUCCUCAUUCUUUUGAUUUUGUUCUUUUUAUUUGAGAUAGUUUUUUAUUUUUCAAUUUUACCCCUUCAUUUUUUUUCUUCUUUCAUAUUUGAUGCUCAAUCUUUUCGUUUUCUUUUCUUUUUUGCUUUGGUGAGGGUUUUAAUUUGAGAAUAUUUUUUAUUAUUAUUUAUCAUUAAACUGAUUGACAAUUGAAAUUUUUAAUUGAAUUUUUGUUUUCAAUUUAAAUGUUCAUAAUACAGCGACAAUGAGUUUCUUUUUUAAAAAAAAUAUAAAUAUUCUUUGUUUUAUGUUGGAAAACAAUUUAUCUAGCCUGCAUCGCUUCACCAAUCUUGUUCUAUAGCUAAAUCAAAAUGAUAAUUGCAAGUUGAGAAUAAUUGGGAGGCUUAACCUAAUGGUUAGCCAACCCUUUCUAUAUAUAUAUGUAGGGCAAUAUACAAUAGUAAUGGUGGAGGUUACCACACAAGAAUAUGUCUACAAUAUUUUCUAUAUACAAUAUUUCCUAUAUAAGUACAUUCUAUAAUAUGCCCCCUCAAGCUGAGGGUGGAGGAUCAACCCGAAGCUUGAAACGAAAAGCAGUAAACAAAGAAGUAGGAAGUGGCUUAGUGAAGACAUCGGCAAGUUGAUCCUAGGAGGAAAUAAAACGAAUCUGAAUCUCCUUCUUUGCAACUCUAUCUCGGACAAAAUGAUAAUCGACCUCAACAUGUUUUGUGCGAGCAUGAAAAACAGGAUUCACAGACAAAUAAGUGGCACCAAGGUUGUCACACCAGAUAAUAGGAGCAGAAGUAGACGGAAUCUGGAGAUCUGUUAAUAAAUACUGAAGCCAGAUAACCUCAGCAGUGUCAUCAGCUAAGGCUUUGUACUCAGCCUCAAUAGAAGAGCGAGCAACUGUGCGUUGCUUACCGGAUUUCCACGAAAUCGGCGUUUGACCAAAAAACACAAGGUAACCACCCGUAGAUUUUCUGUCCUCAACACUGCCUACCCAAUCUGCAUCUGUAAAACCAUGUAAGGCAAAAGAAGAACUGCGAGUAAUAUGUAAGCCAUGUGAUGCCGUACCCUGAAGAUAACGCAAGAUGCGUUUCACGGCAGCCCAAUGAGAAUCUGUAGGAGCAUGCAUAAACUGACAGACUCUGUUAACAGCAAAACAAAUAUCUGGGCGCGUAAAAGUGAGAUACUGAAGAGCACCCACAAUUUGACGAAAGCGGGUAGCAUCAGAAAACAAUGGAUCUGGCAGAAUGGUAGCUUUGGAUGUAGAGAUAGGGGUAUCAACAGGUUUGCAAGAUAACAUAUCAGCCCGAGUGAGGAUGUCAAGUAUAUAUUUAUGCUGGCAAAGCAUAAGACCCAUACUAGUAGACUGAACCUCAAUACCCAAAAAGUAAUGAACAGAACCCAAGUCGCGAAGCUUAAAUUCUGAGCUGAGCUCAGUAGCUGAAUGAGGCGUUGGAGCAGAAGAGAGUUACUACCCGUAAGCAGAAUAUCAUCAACAUAGACCAGAAGAUAACAAAUAUCAGCACCAACAGAGAAGAUAAAUAAUGAGGUAUCCACCUUAGAGGCACGGAAACCAAUAGAUAACAGGAAAUCAUUCAGACGAGUGUACCAAGCCCGCGGAGCCUGUUUUAAACCAUAUAGAGAUUUAUGCAAUCGGCACACAUGAGAGGGGAGAGCAGAAUCAACAAAACCUGGAGGUUGUUUCAUGUAGACCUCCUCGUCAAGAACACCAUUGAGGAAGGCAUUAUGGAUGUCAAGCUGAUGAAUUUUCCAACCACACGAAACUGCAAUGGAGAAGACUAAUCUGACGGUCGCCUGUUUGAUGACCGGACUAAAGGUUUCAGAGUAAUCAAUACCUUCUUGCUGAGUGAAACCUCUAGCAACCAGACGCGCCUUAUACCUCUCGAUGCUGCCAUCAGAUCUGCAUUUAAUCUUGUAUACCCACCGACUACCAACAACAUUCAUGGAGGGAUGAAACGGCACUAAGGUCCAAGUUCAGUUUGCACGUAAGGCCUGAAUUUCCUCACGCAUAGCACUAUGCCACACCUCAUAUCUGUUAGCAUCAUUAAAAACAAGUGGCUCAUGAGAGGGAGGAGAAACUACCCGGCUGAAGGAGACAGCAGAGGCUGCGGCAGUGGCUGUGGACAGCGUUGUCUUGGGCUGCCUUGGACAAAGAACCAUGGGAUGUUGACUAGCAGCUAGGCAUGGAGAACUGUGACCUGUACCUGGAAGAGGCUGAAGAGGAUAUGAGGAGAGGUCUACACAGAGCUGCAGACCAGCUGGAGAAGCAGUGGAGGGACUGGUCGGCACUGCAGACACUGGUGAGGCUGCUGCAGAACUGGGAUGAGCUGAUGCAGAACCGGGCUGCUCUGUUGCAGCAGACCUGAGAAUAUGCACAUCCGGUGAUGGAGAACCUGUACCUGCACAAUGAUCAUUGGAAAGACAAGCAUAUGGUGACAGUAUGGUAGUGUGGGAUGGUGAUGAAGGGGUGGCAGAAUCAAUGGGCAAAGGGGUAGUCUGUUGGGGCCGGUUUGGUAAGUAGUAGGCUGAAAGGAUGGAGGAGGGUGCAAGGAUGGAAGAUAGGUAGGUGGGGUGGGAGGUACCGAUGAGGAUGUUACUUGUUCAGACUUCGCAAAAGGAAAGACAUUUUCAUGAAAACGAACAUGACGGGAGACAUAAAUACGAUCAGACUCUAAGUCAAGACAACGAUAACAAAGAUGGGAUGAGCUAUAACCUAAAAACACACAAGGAGAAGACCAAAAAUCUAAUUUAUGAGCAUGAUAUGGACGCAAAAAGGGAAAACAAAGAGACCCAAAAGUACGUAGGAAGUUAUAAUCAGGAGUGCGUCGAAACAGACACUCAAAUGGAGAUGUAUUUUGGAGAACAAGAGUAGGCAUGCGAUUAAUAAGGUAGACCGAUGAUUCAAAAGCAUAGUUCCAAAAUCGCAAUGGGGCACUAAAUUAGCCUAAAAGGGUUAGGCCAGUUUCGACAAUAUGUCGAUGACGACGUUCAACAGUGCCAUUUUGUUCAUGAGUAUGAGGACAAAUUAACCGAUGAUGAAUACCAAUGGUCUGAAAAAAUUUAUUUAAUUUACGAUAUUCACCGCCCCAAUCAGUUUGAAUAGAUUUAAUUUUAAGAGAAAACUGACGCUCAACAAGUGUUUGAAAACGUUGAAAAGUGGAAAAAACAUCAGAUUUCGCAACAAGCGGAUAAUACCAUAUAUGUUUGGUAUGCGCAUCGACAAAAAUAACAAAAUAGCGGAAGCCAUCAGAAGAAAACAUAAGGGCAGGACCCCAAACAUCACUAAAAAUUAAUUCAAGUGGGGCAGAAGUUUUGUGACCCGUAGGUCGUAAUGACAAACGGGACGACUUUCCUAAAGGACAAGCUUGACACUGAGUAAGAGAACGUCUAGAAGUACAUACGAUUUUAUUAUCGGAAACUAACAAAUUAAAAAUGCGAGGUGUUGGAUGACCCAAACGACGAUGCCACAGGUCGGCAGUCGCGGAGAUGCAAGGAGACCAAAAAGCUUGAGGAACUGACGUGGCAGAAGACUCGGAGAGGACAUAAAGGCCAUCAUGACUCUGACCGGAAAGAAGAACUUCCUUGGUGACGAGAUCCUUCACAUAAAACAUAGAAGCGUGAAAUUCAAAAUAAACAUGAUUAUCACGACAGAAUUUUUGAACAGAUAACAACGGUUUGGUAAUGUGAGGCACAUGGAGAACAUUAGAUAAUGUAAACAUGCGUUUUGGGGAAUGUAAUUUAGUAUGUCCAAUAUAGGAUAUGCCAAGGCCCUUACCGUCACCAACAUGCAAAUAAUCAUUACCAAGAUAGGGUGCAGAAUCGGUUAGAGUUCCAAGAUCAGGUGUGACGUGUUGAUUUGCACCGGUGUCGGGGAACCAAGUCGCAGCAGAGAUAUUCCCAAUAGCAAGAUGAGCAGAAGGCUGUGGAGAGCUGCUACGAAACUGGGAACAAUGGGGAGCUGUGUGCCCAAAACCGGAGCACAAUUGGCAACGUACAUGCUGCUGUCCAGACCACUGCCCAGCACUGGAAUUGCGCCUGGUUUGCUGCCAGUGGUUUGGUCGCCAAUCUGCAGCAGAUUGGCCCCUGUUCUUGGGAGGGAAGCAGUUGUUGUGGGGACGCCAAUUACCUCUAGAGCGACCCCUGUUGCGGCUGAAGUUGGGGCUGUGAUGAGACAUAGCAUGGUGUGCAGAAAACUGUGGUGUUGGCAGCAGAGGUGGCUAUUGCAGCAGAGAAGAAGAAGACAGCAGAGAAGGAGCGGCAGCCAUGGAAUGGAAAGAGUUCUUGUGCAUAAAUUCAUGGGUAAGAAGGUGGCUGUGAAGAUCAGCAUAGGAUAGCGGUUCUGCCUUGGUUAUGAGACUCGUUACCAAGUCUUUGAACUUACCACGAAGGCCACGAAACACAUAAAGAUUGAAAUCUUCAAGAGACAUGAGGCGACUAGCAGCCGCCAAUUCGUCAAAUAACGAUUUGGCUUGCUGCAUGUAUAGACUAACCGAUGAGUCACCUUGCCAAAGGUCUUGAAAGGAGCAAUGGAGUUGCAUGAUGCGAGAAUUAGAUGGAGAGGCAAGCGUUUUCUCAAGAGUGCGCCAAACACAAUGCGAAGUAGAACAAUCUACCACGAGAUGCAACACAUCCACGGAGAGAAAGGAGAGCAAAGCACUCAAAAUAAGUUGAUCAUGUUGCUUCCAACGAAGAAAAGAAGGGCUGAUGAUGGAGGAAGAACCAGCAGAACUGUCAAAAAUAUGAGAUGGAGGACAUGGCACGGAACCGUCAACAAAGUGAAAAACACCUUGACCAAGGAGAUAUGGCUUCAUCUGCAUUCUCUAAUAGAGAUAAUUUGUGUUCGUAAGUUUUAGCGAAACAACUUGGUGAGUGUUCGCUAAAGGAACAAUAGCUGUAGCGUGAGUUCCCAUGAGAGGUAAAGGAACGACAGGGACUUGGGAGGAAGAAUCAGAGACAAGCUCUGCAGGUGGAGGCUGCUGUGGGGAAGAAAGGGCGCUAGCGGCAGCAGCUUGGGGAGGGCUGGCCGGCUGUGCUGCACUACCUGUGGAGAGGGAGAAGUCGGCGGCAGCAGUAGAAUCCAUGUAGAGAAAGUAAAGAGAGGGUCGGCUGCAAAAGAAGGAAGGGAGAAAAGAGUUCUGACGGCAGAAGGCUCUGAUACCAAGUUGAGAAUAAUUGGGAGGCUUAACCUAAUGGUUAGCCAACCCUUUCUUUAUAUAUAGGUAGGGCAAUAUACAAUAGUAAUGGUGGAGGUUACCACACAAGAGUAUGUCUACAAUAUUUUCUAUAUACAAUAUUUUCUAUAUAAGUACAUUCUAUAAUAGGGCGUACUAGGGGUGCUAAUACAUUCCCUUUACGCAACCAGUCCCUUACAUUAGAAUCUCUGAAAGACCAGUUAAGUUUUCUAGUGACCAUAAUAUUAGGUGGCGACUCCAAAGAACCAAUCAAGCAAAACAAAUGAAAAAUCGAUAUCGGACGCCGCGCGGGGGACGUGCGACACUACUUAUCUUGCGUAAACGGUUCUUAUAGCUGGCCAUGAAACCAGAAUUCAUACUUUGUUGUUGUUGCAUGCACUGUGAGACUGAUGGAAACUCAAGACAAAAAUAGGUUUAUAAAAUUUUUGAAAGGUGUUUGAUAUUUUAUUUCUUAUUGCUUUGAUGAAACGACUACCCAUUGUUAUAAAAUCUAAUUAAAUAUUUGAAGAGUAAAAGAACGAAAGAGUUUUGUUUGGAUUUGAACGAAACAGUCUCUUUGCUUAUUAUUUGAAAUUAUGUUUGAUUAUUAUUUUUGAACCGAUCAGGUUAUGAGAAUGAAACAGAUUUCCUGUAAAUAAAUAUUAUAAAGUUAAUAUAAUACCCUUAUAUAGCCUUAUAUAUAUACAUAAACUAGAUAAAAUGAGUAUUUUAUGUAGUUACGUGAGAUGUUAAUUUUCAUAAGAAUUUACAGAAGAAAGAGUUGCGUUUGUAUUUGAGGAGUUAACUUCUCCAAGAACAAGCUAUCUUCUUGGUCAUAUUAUUUGAAGUUCUUCAACGAAGAAAGCAUGGCUGCUUUUCAUCAAGAAUAUAUAUUUUUAAUCGUUGAAUUUCAUGUGACUUGACAUUUCCCACUUUCAACUUUUCAACAGACGGUACUCUCUAUAUAUACCACCAAGCAACGACAUUACUAAGCACAAUCAAGGCAUUACGAAAAUAUUACGUACUGUCUAGCAAAACCAAAAGCCUUUACUUUUUUUAUAGUACUAUCAACCACCAAAAAGAAAGAUGGGAGAUAGCAACAAUCAAACAACGAAAUUUGUUUUGAUCCAUGGUUAAGCUUCAGGAGCUUGGGCAUGGUACAAGGUGAAGACAAUGCUAGAGGCAGCUGGCCUCUCUGUCACAUCCCUUGACAUGAGUGCAUCAGGGGUGAACACAAAAACACUGGAAGAAGUUGUUACUUUUGAUCGGUAUAAUGAGCCCUUGAUCGAGUUCAUGGCCAACUUAGCUGAAAUUGAAAAGGAAAACCUUUUGCAGAGAUAUGACGGGCAAAACCUUUUGCUUAAUUCAACAUGGAAAAUUCAUAGCAUUAAUGCACAUGAAAACAUGCAAAUGUAAAAGGCAUUACCAUCAUCUCUAACUUUAAAUUAACCCUUACACAUUUUGUUCUUUCUGUUAGUUUAUUGAAAAUAGCCCAGCCGUGGCAGACGGGUGGCAGAGUGUAGUGUCUUCAACCGCGGGAUAUGAGACAUUCAUGAAGUCCACUGCUUUUAACCUUGCCUCCCCUGAGGUACGGCUCCUGAAUCUGAUUACAAAUUGAUUGUCGAUCUUGGACUGAUCUGUUUGACUGUAAUAACUAGUGUAGUGAUGAUAUAUUUUUCUUGUUUGCAGGAUCUCAGUCUCCAAACGCUUUUAAAGAGAUCAGGAUCAUUGUUUCUUGAAAGUCUGGCCAAGGCAAACAAGUUCACGAAGGAGAAAUUUGGAUCGGUUGUGCGAGAUUAUGUUGUUUGUACUCAAGAUUUAUUGGUGGUUCCGUCAUUGCAGCGCUUCAUGAUUGAACACAACGAGGUUAAGGAAGUGAUGGAGAUUCCGGCAGAUCAUAUGGCAAUUGCUUCUAGGCCUAAAGAACUCUGUCAAUGUCUUCUGGAGUUCGCACGUAAGCAUGCAUAGAUUGUUGUUAAUUGCAACAUUUGUAUCGAGUUCUAGGCUGCCUAUAUAUAUGUAUAAUAGGAUGGCUAUUGAAAUAAAAUAAAGAAGAGAUAGAUGUUGCCUUCAUUUUUAGAUUUGCUCUUAUUUGUAUUUAUUGUAUUCUUUUCCAAUUAUGAAUAGUAGACACGAUUGAUUUCUAGUCUGGCUUGAUUUGUUAUAUUAUGUUCUCUGCAGCUUGCACUGUUGUUAUCAUCCAUGCACAACAAACUUGAAACUUUUCGUUAACCAAUUAUCCUCUUAAUUAAAAUUUAUAAAUAAUGUUGUUUUAAGAAAAAUAGAUCAUCAAAUUUUACAAAUCUAAACGUAGAAGCUUUCAUAUGAGGGCUAAUUGGGUUAAUUUCAAUAGAUGGAGGUACAAUUGAAAAGUUUUUUUUGUUUUGUGGCUGAAUGAAAAACGGGGUGAUACAUCCUUUUCCCUUAAAACUAUGUGUUAGAUACCCUUCUAUUUCCUCAAAAUUGUGAGAAAUUUUUCUUUCUUUCACUCUCUUUUCCUUGUAAUAAGCCUAUACAUGGCCAUGAAUCUCAAAGGCCAAUGCCCUCCAAAUAACGUUGAAAUAUCCACUUUGAAUAACCAAUACAAAUAUUUAAAACAAAAUCAAAAGCAUCGUUCUGAAAAUGUAUGGUUGGGCUAACCUGAAAUCUCAUUUGGCGAUCCCCUUUAACCAGAACCAAAAUCUGUAUGGUUGGACUAACCUGAGAUCCCAUCCGGCGAUCCCCUUUAACCAGAACCAAUAUCCUGUGUGUGAUUGGGCUGACCUGAGAUCCUAUCUGGUGAUUCCUUUUAACCAGAACCAAAAUCUGUGUGGUUGGGCUGACCUGAGAUCCCAUCCGGCGAUUCCUUUUAACCAGAACCAAAAUCUGUGUGGUUGGGCUGACCUGAGAUCUCAUCCGACAAUCCCUUUAACCAAAACCAAUAUUCUCUGUGUGGUUGGGCUAACCUGAGAUCCCAUACGGCGAUCUCCUUUAACCAGAACCAAAAUCUGAGUGGUUGGGCUAACCUGAGAUCCCAUCCGGCGAUCCCCUUUAACUAGAAUCAAAAUCCUGUGUGUGGUUGGGCUAACCUGAGAUCCUAUCCGGCAAUCCCCUUUAACCAGAACCAAUAUCCUCUAUGUGGUUGGGCUAACCUGAGAUCCCAUCCGGCGAUCCCCUUUAACCAGAACCAAUAUCCUGUGUGUGGUUGGGCUAACCUGAGAUCCCAUUCGGCGAUCCCCUUUAACUAGAACCAAAAUAUGUAUGUGGUUGGGCUAACCUGAGAUCCCAAUAGGUGAUCCCCUUUAACCAGAACCAAAAUCUGUGUGGUUGGGUUAACCUGAGAUCUAUUUGGCAAUCCCCUUUAACCAGAACCAAGGCUAACCUGAGAUCCCAUCCGGCGAUCCCCUUUAACCAGAACCAAUAUCUUGUGUGUGGUUGGGCUAACCUGAGAUCCCAUUCGGCGAUCCCUUUUAACCAGAACUAAAAUCUGUAUGUGGUUGGGCUAACUUUAGAUCCCAUUUGGUGAUCCCCUUUAACCAGAAUCAAAAUAUGUAUGGUUGGGCUAACCUAAAAUCCCAUCCGGCGAUCCCCUUUAACCAGAACCAAAAUCUGUGUGGUUGGGCUAACCUGAGAUACCAUUCGGCGAUCCCCUUUAACCAAAACCAAUAUCCUGUGUGUGGUUGGGCUCAAGGUUGUUAAAAUCGCGAUUUUGACACGGCACGGAAAAUCCAAAACAAACUCGGAUCGUAAAAACGGAUCGUAAAAUCGUAAAAUCGUAAGGAAUUUUAAAAUACAUUAACAAAAAAUUCAUGCUUCAAAUAAAAAUUCAUACAUAUACUAUACAAUUAAAUUUUUCGUAAAAUCAUUCCAUUAUUCCAUUAAUAAAAUCAAUUCCAUCAUUACUAGACUUGCAUUGCAGUGAAGAAGGUGUGAAUAUCAUAAUCAUCAGUGAUAUAUUACGUGUGGCUUUGAAAAAGGAAAAAGAAACGAACUCAAUUCAAAAAUGUAUAAACGCAUGAAGCAGAACAAUUCUUUGACUAACAAUUAUAUCUAUGAAUUCCAGCAAUUGCAGUGAAGAAGGUGUGAAUAUCAUAAUCAUCACACAUUUUCAAUCUAGCUACAAGAGAAACAUAUUACGUGUGGCUUUGAAAAAGGAAAAAGAAACGAAUUCAAUUAAAAAAUGUAUAAACGCCUGAAGCAGAAAAAUUAUUUGAUUAACAAUCAUAUCUAUGAAUUCCAGCAAGGUUCAUACAACAUCUACUCUCCAUUAUGCUAAACUUCUCAAGAAAAGAAACUUAUGACUAUAUAUGAAGGGUUAGCACUGCAACUCAAAGAAUCUUGCAGAUAAAAAGAAGAUGGAAAGCCUAAAGAAUGAACAAGCAGUACAAAUAAAAAAGUAUAUUAGUACUUGAUAUCAGGAUUUUGGACCAAUAAUCUGUCAUGAUCUACAUAAGUUUGCAGUAACAGUUUCUUAUAGGGAGAAGAAUCUGAUAGCCUUUGUCACAAAGACAUUUGCAAUGUAUCAUCAAGCAUUCCCCAGUUCUCUUGUCGUCACAGAUUCUUCACAACCUGUCACUGCAUCACUUUCCAUCAAACCGACAGUCCACGUAUCAAAAUUUUGAAUACAUACUAGGAAACAAAAUUCAUCCCAGAGUUAAGGUCAAUACAAUAGCUAGGCAGAAUGGAACACGUUACAAUCUAACUUUGAUUUUGAUCCAAAUUUUCAUGGAAGUGAACAAAGUGGAAAAUUAAAGAUAAAUGGUUGUACCUUGAUUGCAUUAGUGCUCUCUAGUUCAGUGAUUUUACCAUCUUCUUCAUGAUUUUCAUGCAGUGGCUCUUCGUCUGCAGGCAUUAUAAUUUCAUCCCAGUAUCCCACCACUGAUUGAUCUCUGUCAUGUUGUUCCUCAUUUUCUUCAGCCACUAUUAUUAAACACCAAUUCCAAAAUUUUCAUUAUAAUUAGACCCAAUUAUCUUAGAGAACAAUUAAAAUUAACCCAAGAAUCCAAAAAAGUAAAAAAAAAAAAAAACCCACAUAUCUACUUCUAUAAGUAUUUCAGAAACCCAUUUUAAUACUUCAGUGUGAGCUUACAAGUUACAACCAUCAAGCCUUUGACUAUUGAAGCAGUAAAUAGAGGGACAAUGAUUUGUUCUUCUCCACGUAAGGAUUUCAGGUGGACGAUGCAGGGAGUAAAAACGAGACACAAAAAACCAGAGGCGAGACAGAAAAAACAAAGCUUGGGAAUAAAUUCUUACCUUAUUCUCGCUAGCAAGCAAAACCAGAGGCGCUGAGAGAGUGGAGAGUGAAAAGUGGAGAUUGGAGAUAAUUAAAUUCAGAAUUUCAGAUCUUAAAUAUUCAGCAGACAAUUAGUAAAAGUGGAGAGUAGAGAGUGGGAACAGGGGAAGGGGAAAGGGGGAACUAGGGAAGGGGAAAGGGGAAAGGGGAAAGGUAAAGGGUGGAGGCGCUGCAGCUCUUUUAUAUUUCACGUGAAAUCGUGAAAUCGGUCCGUGAUUAACGUUUUUUCCGAGUUGAACCGAUUUUAUGCGAGUUUGACCGGGUUUGACCGAUUUUACUGGUUUUCGAGUUUUAAACUCGAUUUUGCAUGUUUUAUAUGUUUUGACUCGUAAAAUCGUACGAUUUUACGAGUCAAAACGCGAUUUUGAUAACCUUGGUUGGGCUAACCUGAGAUCCCAUUUGGCGAUCCCCUUUAACCAAAACCAAAAUCUGUAUGGUUGGGCUAACCUGAGAUCCCAAUCGGCGAUCCCCUUUAACCAGAACCAAAAUCUGUGUGGUUGGGCUAACCUGAGAUCCCAUCCAGCAAUCCCCUUUAACCAGAACCAAAAUAUGUGUUCUUCCUGUUGACAAGGUUUGAACUUGCUUCCUUCGUUUUCUUCUUCUUCUUCUUCUUCUUAAAAAUUUCCUAAUGGUAGGGUUCUUGUCAUUUUUCUUCUUGAUGGUAAGGUUUGAUCAAACUUUUCACUUAAUGCUUUCUUUCUUUUUUUAUUUUUGUGAUUUUGCAGGACUGACAUCUAUCCUUCCUAAUUGCAGGGUUGACAUCUGUCCUUCCUGAUUACUGAAAUUAACUAGAUUUUUCUUGAUGACAAGGUUGGAAAACUUGGUGCUUCCUUAUUGCGGGGUUGACCUGAAGACUCAUCAUGAUGACAAGGUUGAUCUUCUCAUUUCUUUGAGAUUUUCAUGACAGUAAGGUUUAUCUCAUCUUCUUCCCGUUUAAGGUCACAAUCCAUGAUUCUCUGUUAUUAUCAGCUCAAUGAUUCUUUUUUUUUUCUAUUUUUUUUUUAAUCUUGCUGGACUUCUUUGAGGAUUUUCCUGUAACGAAUAAAAAAUAUGUGUGCAAUGCUUUAAGGUUAAAUGACAUGCACGCAUCCUUACCUGAUUUCAAAUAUAGGUCCCCCUCUUUGAUGUUCCAUUGUCAUAGAGUGCCUUAGUUUGCUAUCCAAAAGCCUUCUUUACUCUUUCCAUGUACUGGCCCGUUCAUGUGUUAGUCAUCUACUCCACUAUAAAUGCAGCGCCUAUCAUAGGCUGUCUUUGAUGAUUAUUGGUUUCACUAUUUAUCAAGCUUGACAAUGACCCCGAGUGUGAUGUUGCUUGAUUCGUCAUGAAGGAGCUUAACAAAUCAUUUCAUCUCCUGGAUUCUUUCGAGAAUCAUUAUUUGAUUAGCUGUGUGCAUCCUACCAGCACUCAUCAAGAGGUUUUCUAGUAUUGUCCUCAUCUUAGAUUGCUAAUCAGCCAUUGACUUGCCUCCAGUGCUCAUUCAUCUGAUUAUAUUCCUUUCAACACCAUUGUCCUCAGCCUCACUGAUUCAUCAUUUAAUCAUUUUUUUAUUGCCCCUAGCUGAUCUGAAUACUGUUUGUUUUUCCUUCUCAUGGUCAACUGUAUUGCCCUCGGCUGCUCAACAUUUUAAGAAGUGUCGAGAAGUAUUGAUGUCACUUCUGUCAAGGAUUUUGCAUACUCGAUCGGUGCUUUUUUUGUUUGACAAUCUUUCUUGUUCGGAAAUCAACUCUCAUAUUUCAAAGAUCAUGUCUAUUUCAAAGUCUAAUUGUUGAAAUGAAAUCAAAGAAAUGUCAGUAUUAUUUUAUUUUAUUUUAUUUGUUUUUUUGGAAUUCAAGCUUCUUUAGUUAAAGACCCGACACGCGUCAUGUAGUCCUUUGAUUAUCUUGUAUUUUGAAAACAGAAAUUGACCGGUUGAAAGAUUAAAAUGGCUUUUUUCCAUGGUUCUUUGUGUUAAUUUUAAUAUCUGAUCUUGGGUAUAUCUUUUGAUAGUCUGUGAUGAGGUGACCUUUUUGUGAAUUUCACUGUACUGCCCCCGGCUGCUCAACAUUUUAAGAAGUGUCGAGAAGUAUUGAUGUCACUUCUGUCAAGGAUUUUGCAUACUCGAUCGGUGCUCUUUUUGUUUGACAAUCUUUCUUGUUCGGGAAUCAACUCUCAUAUUUCAAAGAUCAUGUCUAUUUCAAAGUCUAAUUGUUGAAAUGAAAUCAAAGAAAUGUCAGUAUUAUUUUAUUUUAUUUUAUUUUAUUUGUUUUUUUGAAAUUCAAGCUUCUUUAGUUAAAGACCUGACACGCGUCAUGUAGUCCUUUGAUUAUCUUGUAUUUUGAAAACAGAAAUUGACCGGUUGAAAGAUUAAAAUGGCUUUUUUCCAUGGUUCUUUGUGUUAAUUUUAAUAUCUGAUCUUGGGUAUAUCUUUUGAUAGUCUGUGAUGAGGUGACCUUUUUGUGAAUUUCAAAACAAGAUGCUAAAGUCAAAACUCAGGCUUUAUCAAGAGAGGUUGUUUCUCUUUUUUUUCUUAGCACUUAUUUUAUCAGCAUGCAUAAUAACAAGUAGCUUAAUCCAUGAAGUCACGACCCUUAUGGAAAAACUCUUCAAGCUUUGAGAGCGCCAUUUAUCGGUUCAAAUUGCUUACUCCAUCGAAAAGAGCUUUUAAAAGCACGUAAUGUAAGGUAUGGUUUAUGGCUAUGAAAGAAAGGAAUUUUACAAGCUCAAAAGGUGUUUGAGGUUCUCAAAAACCUAGGAUUAACAUCAAUUAUUCAUCAUUUCUCUUUAUCUUGUUAUCUUUGUAGAGAAAGCGACAUAUAACAUUAACCUCAAAUAUCAGAAUUCUCUUAACAUAGGUCAUAAUGCAAAUCCAACUUUUUCUUUUAUGAAUAAUCAAUCUCAAUCAUCUGAUAACAUCAGGGGCUUUAUCAUGGAUGCCAAAAGUCAUGUUUGUAGCUCAGUAUUUUUUUUUUUUUUGUAUCAACUUUUGAUAUUUGUUGUCUUUUCUUGAUUGAAACUUCUUUUGUCUUUCCUAAACUCGAUAGGCAUUCUCCUUCCUUUAUCUUUAACUUGUCUUUAAGUGUAGGCAAUUUUCAAUUUUUUUUAUGGCUUUCACAUAGCCUUUCUCACAGUUUUCUAACAUGCCCCAAGUCUAGGUCUUCUUUCUUUUAGCUCUCUUUCAAACGUAGGACUUUUGUUCUAAGCCUUCCCUUUAUCAAUUGACUCUAACAUUGUCCUCAUCUUUGCUAACAUAAAUCUCUUAUUUGCCCCCCAGUGUGGGGUGUGAUCCUGGUCAGGGUUUCUUUUGAAAAGAAAUAUUAUAUCAGGCUCAAAAUGGGUUUGCAAAGGAUAAAUAUCUUUAGAAAGUGAGGGGAUAUCAAAGAUGGUCUUUUCUCAUUUCAAGCAAGGUUGGUUAGAACCGAUAAAUUUUGACCUCAUCCAGGGUAGUGAUUUGGAUUUGUAAGAAUCAUGAUUCACGAGUCCAUAACUACCGAAUCCACUACGUGUCAUUAUGCAUACUGCUAAAACUUAGCUACAUGAUUUGUGGUUCAGCUUCAUGUGUGGGCUCAAAAUCUGUUUGGUCACCCCAUAUUAUUUUAACAAGCAUCGAGUCAUUUCUGCAAUCAAAAUACUUUUAAACUUUCAGGAUUGAUUAGCUUUAAUCGUGCGUUGGAGUUCGAUCAAAGUAUUUCGCCAAAAUAAAUUUUGAAAGAAACAUCUUUUUAUUUCAAAACAAUAAUAAGACUAAGAACAAAACAUAAUCCAUUAAAAGGUGAGAUGUGAUCCCAAAACCAAAAUGAUGGACAACACAAUUGACAACAUGACAUUUCUAAGCAGCUUCUUCAUCAGUCAUUCACGUCUUGUUAUCACUCAUUGGUGAUGGCCUGUUGAUGAUAUGAUCGUUGGUAUCAUUCUUCACAAAAUCUGCUUGUUUCUUGCUCACAAAUCUUUUGGACUUAAUCUUCAAAGUUCUCUCAAUUCUUCAACUUUUUCUCUAGAUUAUUCCGUCUAGAGGAUCAUGUCUUGGGGCAAUGAUCUAACUAUGAUUUUUCCUUGGUGGCAAAGGUGAGCUAGAAUGGGAAGCACCCAUGGAGCAGACCCCUUCCUAAUCGUAACAUAUCAAUGUGCCUAGUCUUAAAGUUUAAGAAUAUCACAUCAUGAAAGUAUUCUCCCAUCAGCACAACAUCAGCAUUGCAAAAGGCCAAGGGGCUUACGUGGGGUUUUUUUCUUGUUAAAACCCCUAUGUUUAUCGAAUGCCUCUUGCUCCAUCGUUUUCUGUCAUGAUCCUCCAUGAUCCAUACUUCCAUGAAAUUUUUCUCCCUAUCAAUGCAAGUCAUGGCAAGCUUUCCUUUGUAAUCAGUAAGUCUAAUAUCUUUAUCAUUGCCCUCAGAGGUUGAUAGGGGAAGUGGAAACAAACAAUGACUCUCCCUUUUUAUAUCAAAUGCAAAGACGUUUCCCUUCCAAGUGAGCCAAUGAAAUGAGCCAUUUACGGAUACUUUUGUCAUGCGAUGAAUGGACUCUUCAUGAGGCAACUUCACUUCGUCCGAAAGCUUCCAUUUCCAAAUUGCUGAUUCAAACAACUCGACUCUAAUGCAUUGGUACAUAUAUAAUUCUUUAUAUGAGCGGAAUUUGGGCUUCGAGAAUCUCACAAUCUUGUAUCGUAAAGGCUUUGACCUUUCAAUCAUUAGGCCAAAUUCUAUAGUAUCAUAUCGUGUCUUUGGAUUUGGGAUCUUUUGCCAUUGUUGGAUCGAAGGGAUACACACAUAAUAGCAUGAUUUAUUAUGUGCAUGACAAAGUAGAACUCCUUGAUUUGUUGAUGACACAAUCUCCACGUGUUCUGGAAGAAAAUCAAAGGGUAUUUGCAUAUGGGUCUUCACAGCGUCAGUUGAAACAAAGGGAACUUGAUAUUUGUUCUUGAUCAUGCUUUGGAUAAAGAAACCAGAGACAAUGUUGGUUCUUUGGCUGUGUAGCCUUGUGAAAAGGGAUUCGUAGGUCAACUUGUUGUACUCCUUAGAAAGAAGCCUCCAUUUCCCCACAAACUCCAUUGAUGAGCGUGUCAGCACUUCAUAGAUGGCAUCUCGGCACAAGUCCCUAGCUGAGUCCAUUUGAAACAGAGAAUCUUAUUACCACAGGCUGUGUCUCUUGAGCGAAUUUUCCUUGCCACCGUCAGAUGUUGACAACUCUUAACUCUGAAAAAGGAGAGCAGAAUUGGGGGACCUUUAUUUCAAACUAUAAACAUGCAUGUUUAAACGUAUGAGGAUGUUUUAUAUGAUGAGCUUGCCCUUCAAGGGUUGACACAUGGUCGUAAUCCUUGCAAGAAUUUUGAUUCUUGCUCUACAUCGGAAAUUUUCUGAGUAACGAUCAUUGUGUCAUCCACAAGUCUUGAGUUCAAGAUGCUUCAAGAAGGGUUUACUCUGAUGCAAAACAAAAGGUAACAUGCACAACCUAAGGACAUGUUCUAUUCAUUAAGUGAGACAAAAGGUAGGUUGACUAUCUAGUCUCAAAAGAGUCUCAUAUCUGCCUAGUGACGAUCUCCGUAAAGACAGUAUAGGGGUGUUGCGAGAAACAGUUAAGGCACGUAUGCCCACCAUUACAAAGCAGACACUCAGAUAUGAGUUGGGUGUUUCACGCAUCUGAACCUUGACCAAUAGUCAUAGGGCAGAUCGCUAAUUCCCCACCUAACUUAGAAGCUUGUGUGUGCUUUUCAAAAAUUAAAGUAUGUGAUGCAUGAGACAGUUCUAUACAAUACAUGAACAUAUAUGUACAGAAAUUAAAGCAUGUAAGAAAAUAAAUAAAAUAAGCUUAUUAACAGAAAACAAGCAAACCAAACAAAACACAAUUAUCAGACAAAAACAAAGCUUAGUCCAUAAAGUCCCCAGUGGAGUCGUCAUUCUGUUGCACGUAUGCGGCGUCUCGGCGAAAACAUCCACCCUCAAAAUUUUAUCUAAUGCGGCAAAUGUGGGGAGACAAGGAAUUCUUGUCUUUUAUCAAUGGAAAAUUAGAAUGGAAGUUGCCACCUAUUAUUUUGGUCACUUGGAACCCUAACUGAUCUCAGAAAUCGAGUACGGAGACUGGUUAAAGGGAAGGUAUUAGCACCCCAAAUACGCCCUACCUAAGGUAGGCUGCAUUGUUUUAUUGUCUGAUAAAAUCUAAAGUCAUGUCGUGUUUUCUAGUUGUUGGUCUAUUUAUGGUUUAAGAAAAGUACUCCUCGGUAAGGAGGUCCUUAUCUUAUCGGGUAAAACAUAACCGUUCUAACCUCAACAAAAGAAAUUUAAUAUCCGGAAUACGUCUUACGUAUAAGAUCAUAACCCUAGAUAUUAAAAGAAAACAAAAAAUAUUUUUUUUGAAUUUUUGAAAUAUUGGCCUAGUUCUCGUGGCCUUAAUAAACUGGUUAUUAAAACCAAAAUGCAUACUAAUACAUAUAUAUAUAUAUAUAUAUAUAUAUAUAUAUAUAUAUAUAUAUAUAUAUAUAUAUAUAUAUUAAUUUUCUUUAUUGUAUGAAAAUACAAUAUGAUUUUUUUUGUUUUGAGAGACUUGGCCGUAUGCAUGAAAACAAAAUAUUUUUUUUUACGAAAACCAGGUAUUUUAAUACCGGAUUUGUAUCUUUACAGUAUAAAAAUACAAACCAAUAUCGAUCAAAAUGCAGUAAAAAACAUACAAGAAAAUCACAAAUUUUUUGAAAAAAAAUUUAGAAUUUUUUUUUAGGCUGGAUCCAGCUCGGCCCAUGUGGUUGGGCUGGACCUAGCAGGCCUAACCGGGUCACUGGCCCAAGCCAGUGAGAGGGUUGGGAAAACAAAAGGCACACGUGAGCUUCCUCACGCGUGCAUACUCAGUAACAUAUGCAAAUGGAAGUAAUUACUGUUAAAGUGAAUUAUAAUUCACUUGAACAGUUACAUUUGCAUUUCACUGUUCAAGUGAAUUAUAAUUCACUUGAACAGUGAAAUGCAAAAAUGGAACUGCAUGCACAGAGACGAGGAGAACAAACCUGGUGGCGGAAACGAUGUCGAAGACGAUGGUAAUGGGGUACGCUCACAGUGAUGCUGGUGGCGGUGGAGAGGAAGCCGACGAUGGAUCACGGUGGUUAUGACGGUGGCGGGCAGUGUUUGCUGCAGUUUUUCUUCUUCUUCCCUGUGCAGAGGCAUGCACCAGUCUCUGUUUUUUUUCCUUCCUCGUUUGCUUCUGUUUGGUUCUUCUCCUUUUGGUCUCUGGUGUUUCCUUCUGUCAGUUGUUCGUUAUUCUCUUUAGCUUCUUCCUCUGGUUUUCUCUCUGAAAUGCUCGGUUUACAGUGAAGUAGAUCGCUGAAGCUUUGGAACUGCUACUGAAGAAGAAGCCGAGGGCGUGCCUUUUGUUUUUCACUUCUCUUCGUUCCUCCCCUUCUGGAUUCUCCCCUGCUGUUUUCCCCUAUACUCCCACUCUUUCUCUUAUGCUUUUUGUGUUUUUUCUCAUUUUUCUUUAUGCACUCUUCCCCCUCUGUUUUCUUCUUUUUUCUUCCUCCUAGGCUGCUUCUUUCCUCUGGCUUUUAUAGCCAGAGGAUGCAGACAUUUUCCGGCAACAGAGUAACGGUCGCCGUACAUGGUGGCGUGAGACAUGCCCCCUGAUUGAAACGGCUCCAUUAUCGCUGCUAACGUCUCCUGCCUUUAACGCCUCAGCUGCCAUGUUUAAGAAGACAGUAAAUAGUGCUUCAAUGGAAACGACGCCGUAUGGAUUCUUCUGAUUUGGUCAUUGAAAUUUUCGCAAUUUUGUAAUCAAACCCCGGAAAAAUUGUAAUUGGGUCCCUUAAUUUUAUCACCUUUUCUGGUUUGGUCCAUGGUUUCGAAUUGUUUCAAUUAAGUCCCUAAUUAGCCAUCAAACUUCAAUAAUUAUGCAAUUAAACUCUUGAUUUAACUAAAUCAACUCUUCAAAAUUAUAAUUGAACCCCGGAACUUUAAUUUCUUCCAAUAAAAGCCUAAGUUUUCUUAAAAGAUCAAUUUUCUUGCAAUCAAACCCUCCAUAAAUUCAAUUAAACCUUAGAUAAAAUUUAAAUGAGUCCAUAAACAUCUGAUUUUAGACUUUUUUUUCUCAACUUGAAUUUUCUUUGUCAACAGGGUUUCCAUCAGUCAAAAAUAUAUUGUCAAAUUUCAACCUUUUGCAUUUUUGAACCUCCUCAACCAAUUCCAGCAUCCUUUUCUCGCUCUAAUUUUUUUUUUAAUAUAUUGUUUUUGGAUUUCUUCCGAAUAUAUAUUUUUGUAUUUUUUUUCAUUUUUUUGUGGGAACCCAAAAAUAAGUAACAACAAUGGUUAUUCAACAACUAACCACCAGGAAUCAUUGAGCUCUAAAAUACAUCAUUUAUGACCUCCAACCAAAACCAUCAAGAAUCUUUAAGCUUUGAUACCAACUAACACACAGACAGACAAGAGCGAAGGAUAAUUGUUACAAGUUAAAACCCUCAAAGAUCAAGAACAUUAUAACUAUAAGGAGACUUUAUGUUAACAAAUGGUGGUAAAACAUCUUUUUUUUACUACCACUGGUGGUUCUUGCCAACAGAUCACAAGUACAAAAAGUUCUUUAUUGGUAGAGUUGAAAGGGACGCACUGCUGCUACCGUAGGGUGAAAAAUUGUUUGAAGCAGUGUCAGAGUACGAUGACAUUGUGUUUGGUUUUAAAUUCGAUAAGUAGAAGUUUUCUAGUUUUGGUUUGACCCACAAUUGGGUAAAGCAAAGUAUUUUCUAGAAUUUUUCUUAUUGAAAAACUAAUCUUCUCCAUAACCUUAUUUUCAUGCACAUUGAAAAAAACAUGUUUGAAAACAUUUUCAACAGGGUUAUGGACAUGGAAAGGAAGACAAAGGACAACAACAAGAAUAGAAUGGAUAUAUCUUUUUUUUGUCAUCGUAAAAAUAUAGAGUUAGUUUAUGAUGGGUCAUAAGUUGUAAAGCCCAAAACCAGUUUUGCCUUAGACAAGAAUGCACAAUUACUUGUCUACCAAUGGUUUAAGAGUCUGCGUUUUCUUGAUGGACAUGCUUCGAACAUAUCAAGGUUGGUGAAUUUGAAGGAUUGUAGAUUAUAUGGAAUGAAGAGUCAUGACUGCCACGUGUUUAUGCAAACACUCAUUUCACUAGCUUACCAGGAUUUAUUGCCAAAGGGGGUAUGAGAUGCAUGCACUAUGGAGCUCAGUCACUUCUUUAAAGAUAUAUGCUCUUACAAGUUGCAGACACAACACAUAGAGAGGCUUGAAAUGAAUAUCAUCUAGACAAUCUGUAAAUUUAAGAUGAUAUUUCAUCCACCGUUCUUCAACUCAAUGAAGCAUCUACCUAUACAUCUACUAUUUAAGGAAAAAGUUGGAGGCCUAGUCUAAUAUAAAUGAUAGCGAUGAAAUCAACAUAGAAGAUUGUGAUGAAGAUAACAAAAUUAAAGAAGAAGAAGAAGAAGAAGAAGAAGACAAUUCUAAUUAAUUUGUAAAAACACGAAUGUGUAAUGCCAUAAAUUAUAAUGUAAUAUUUAUGGACGAGAUUAACUUUAAUGUAAUAAAAAUAACAUUAAUUUAUUAUUAAAUGACAAGGAAACAUUAAUUUUAUGUGAUUUUAAUAUUCUACAUAGAACUCGUGUUAUGUGUGCUAUUGUGAUUUUAAAUAUAUGUAGGAUGUAUAGAUAAGGAAUAAAGAUAUAAUUUGGCAAUCAAAACUGUUGUACACCGCUAUAAAUACUGAUAGACUGCAAAAUACCAACAAAUACACUGACAGAUUAAGGUCAUCGGUACAUUGCAAAAAACAUUUGAGAUUUUCACCUCUCAAUUGCACUGUUCAUUAUGGUCAAUACAAAAGGUAUCACCAACAGAUUAAGUUUGUCGGUAUAUUCCAGAGAGCAAUGGAAUUGUUUCCCUCUCAAUUCCACUAUUUAUUGUGUUCAAUAUAGAGGGUAUCACUGACAAAUUAAGUCUAUCAGUAUAUUCUAGAGAGCAUUGGAGCUUUUCACCUCUAAAUUACACUGUUCAUUACAUAUAGUAUCACCAAAUGUAAUAGUUGGCGGGUUUCGAAAAACUUUUAUUCAAUUGAAAAUUUCAAUUAGACUUUAUAGACGAAGACACUGACGGAAAAAUUAAAUAUUAAUUUUUAUUUUAUUUUCUGACGGUAAAGGCAUCGCCAAUAUUUGGCGUGUUUUUUGGAAAUUUUUAAUUAAAUUGAAAGUUUCAAUUAGAAUUUACAGACAGAGACACCGAUGAAAAAAUUAAAAUAUUAAUUUUUUAUUUUUCUGACAAGAAAGACGCCAGUAAUAUGUGGCGGGUUUCUAAAUUUUUUUGAUUAAAUUAAAAUUUUCAAUUGGACUUUACAAACUCUACAUACAGUAUACAUAAGGUAUGACCAACGGAUUGAGUUCGUCAGUAUAUUCUAGAGAGCAAUAUAAUUGUUCAUUUUUUGAAGUCACUUUUAAUUAUUGUUUGGUACAUAUGUAUUUACCAAUGAAAAAAAACAUUGUCAAUGAUAUUUAGGGUUUUUUUUAAUUUGCUAUAAAAUUAAAAAUUUUAAUUAGAUGUUAUAAACAGAAUCACAUACGAAAAAAUUAAAAAUAUUUAAUUGUUUGUCGGUAAAAUCAUUAGUAAAAAGCCCCAAAUUAAAAGAUCAAAAUCCUUAAAAUCUUAACAGACAUGCUGACUUUCUUCUUCUCUCUUCCUCUUUUUCUUCUUCUUCUCUCUUCCUCUUCCGCAAAUAAACACCAAUGUUUCUCUCUUUCUUUCUCUUCUCUCUCUCAUUCUCUCCUCAACUUCUUCUCUUCUCUUCUCUUCUCUUUUUCUCCACACGCAGGUAUGUCUUCUCCUCUCUUCUUCUACUAACUUCUUUGUUUUUCUUUUUCUUUUUUGUUAAUUAACAUACUGUUUGAAUUUGUUGUAUUUUUUUCUCUUCUUAAACUUCAAUCACAACGAAAUCAAGGUAAGAUUUUUCUUUUUUUCUUCUCUUUUUUUGUGUUUAUUUUGCAUUAUUUUUUUUAAUUUUUUUUGUUUUUAAUAAUUGUAUGAAUGUUGUUGUUGGAAUUUUAUUUUUUUUUUAAUAUGAGAACAAUUUUGUUGAAUUUUAGUUGGAUUUAUUUUUUUCAAUUUUGUUGUUCAAAUUCAAUUAAAUGUAUAGGAUUGAUUUUAAUUAUUAUUAGUUAAUAAUAUUCUAUUAAACAUUAAUAAAUUUAAAAUAUUCCUAGUUGAUAAUCAUUGAUUAUCAUAUAUUCAUAAUUAUAAGUCCAAUUUCAUUAAAAAGUAAAAGUUAUAAAUUUAGAUUGAUUUUUAUAUGUUAUACAAUAUAAUAUUAUUAUGAUAAUAAUUGUAUAUAUAACCUAAUUAUAGAAAAGAAGCUUUUCUGUUUAUAAAGUAAAAUUCUAGUUAAAAAAGUAGAGAUUCAAUAAUUAGGUUUACUCUAUAAUAAAUAUAUUUAUUAAUAAAAGAAAAUUUCAAAAAAAAAUAAUCUAAAAACUAGGCUGAGUACAAGUUGAGUGAACUCUUCACUCAAUGACAAGGAAACAAAUUGAAUAAAAUCAAAUGGUUUAUGGCAAUUAAAUUUAAAUAGUUGUGUAUUUGCAGGUUUAAAGAUUUUGGGUAGUCUUCCAUAUAAGGGAGGUGCUACUAAUUUUUUAAAAAAUAUGAAUAUUUUAUGGUAUCUUAAUCUUUUAAUUUGUGUAGAUCCUUAGGGGAAAGUUAAUAGCUCGUCGUACGGGCAUGAUCGCUGCUAGUUCUUCUAACAGUGCUUCUGAUGACCAUGACUCGUUAGGUGCCGACCAAGUAUAGAAUCCUUCGACACAUGCAUCCACACUUGACGUGGGCUUGACGAGUGCGAUGUCACCAUGUCGAGAUGGGGUCCCUUUAAAGUGGGUCCAUUUACCGGGAAGUAUCAGGCUUAGUGGAAACAUGACAUUUCAAUGUAAGUUUGUUUUCCCUUCACAACAACAUGUUAAUAAUUUUUGAAAAAUUAAUUUCAAUUAACGAAUGCAAUUUUUGGUUUACAAACAUUGAGGUUGUCAGAACCAUAUCAUCGACGAUGAAAUCGUCGAUGGAAAUUCUAUUAUUUUUAUGGAGUCAAGCUUCCAAACAUCCUGAAUUGAAACCUAUGAUUGAUGCAUGGUUUGGAAGAUUUAAGGUUAGUAUUAACUUAAAUAUUUUUUUAUAUUCGACCAACACUCAGGAUCCCAGCACUUCUAGUGGGAUCCUGAGAGUAUCGUCGGUGUUUAUUUAUCUUACAAAAAUUUCACUUGUUCUAACAACUAUUUUUUGUUUUUUCAGGAUUCCCCAAUACAUAGAAUCCAAAAAUUAAUCUUAUUUUAAUUAUCAUUAUUACCAUUGUGGCUGACUCGCCUCUCCGGGAAUGUUCGAGAUGGGACCCGGGAGAAAGAGAUGCCUUGGCACCUGAUGAACCAACCUAAAUGGUUAGCGGAAUAAGGGACUGGCCUCAGAAAUGCAGAUAGAAGGCGAUGCAUUAGCUGGUUACGGUUCAGGUGCGGCAGCUUUCGCCAAAGAGAAAUCCUUGUUCUUGUUCUUGUUCUUGUUCUUGUUCUUGUUCUGGUACCUGUAUGUUGAUUGAGUAAUGGUAGGAAUGAGGACCAACCCGACUAAGUUGAAUAAAUAAGGUUUGUUCUAAUCCUGAGAAGAUAUAACUCAACUAGUCAGGCUCUAGAUUACUAGUUUGAAGGUUACCAGUUUAAGUCCCACAAACCUUAGGGCUACUGGAGAUUUACAUGGUCGUUAAUCUCAAGGCACAUGGAAUUAGUCGAGGUACACGCAAACUGGUCCGAACACUCACAUUAAUAAAACAAAAAAAAAAGUUUGUUCCUCUAUCCAUUGGGAGACCCCUAAAAGAGUUAGAACAUGUACCUAUGGGACUUGAAAGGUAUAACCUAUCGAAAUACUCUUCAAUUCUUUUUAAAAAAAAUCUUGAGAUCAUUUAAUUAUAAACUUCUUGGGUAUUCUUACAUAGAAUUAUUCAUAAAUAUUGAGGUGUUUAUAUAUAUAUAACUUCUCCCUUUGUUUAUGCACAGAGGAUGGGAUUUUAUUUUCUUUUAAUCACUCUCCCUAAUUUUUUAGUUAGUUCAUAGCCUGAAAAAGGUCGCCAAUUUCAUUCCAAUUCUAUUUGCGAAUAAUUUUAUUUUUUGUUUCUUAAUAAAAAAUAAUAUGUACUUUUACAAUAUCAAUUAUAUCUUUUAAUUCGACCGUUGAAUCAGGUUAAAUGUUUAUGAGGAGUCUCCUUAUGUAUUGUUAUAUUUCUUAUUAAAAUUUUAGAGUGAUCAGAGUUUGAAAGGUCUUGCGAAACUCCUGAUAAUAUUUUUAUAAUUUUAUUCAUAAAUGUCAUUUUAUUGUAUUUAUUUUUUAGAUUUUAUAAUUUUUUUAUUUAACACUGAGUUUAUUGAUAAUUGAUUUUUAUAAUUUAUUUUAAUUUAUUUUAUUUAAAGUUAUUAUAGUCUUAUGAUAAAGAUGAAGAAUUAGAUAAGUGUUUUGAUUUGUUUUAUUUGAGAUUUUAAACAGCAAAUCAAAGCAGGAUUUUUGCGUUUUUUUUAAAACCGAAAAACUUUUCGACCCUUUCUCUUUUCCCUUUUUUUUCUCUCUCUCUCUCUCUAUCCCCCGCAAAUGAAUGACACCCAAUAUUUACAUUCAUGAUUGCCGCUCAGGUCACCAAUGAGCUGGGCAGCACUUCAUGAUUGCCGCCCCCCAAUUGAAUUGCACGGCAAAAUCUAUUUCUUGUUUUAAACAAGAUACAAUUAGGCGCGUAGUUUUUUUUUUUUUUACUGAAAAGUAUAUUUUUUUAAAAAAAGUAAAUUUUAGAAAAUUAAAUUCUAGAAAAUUGAAUUAUUUUUUUAUGUUUGAUAGUGUAAUAAAAAAUAAAUUAAAAAACAUUUUCUAGUGUUUGUUUAUGUCAUUGAAAAAUAAACUGAGAAAUAAUUUAUUAAUAUUUUAUUUUUUUCAAGUUGAAAGAUGAAGAAAUUAAAAUAAUAAUAAUUAAAAUUUCAUAAAUUAUUUUAAAUAAAAUAAGUAACAAUCAAAAGAAUAAGGAUCAAAUUUGAUAGAUAAAAAAUUUUAAUGAAAAAAUAAUAAGGAAAAAGCAAAUAACAAUUAUAAAAAUAAGGACCGAAAUUAAUAUAAAAAUUAAAUUCUAAUGGAUGAAAUUGAAAAAAAAAUAUUCAAAACAAAAUAUAUAUAGCAAUCAAAAGUUUGAGAACCAAAUUUGAUAUAAUCAGUAAAUAAUAUGACAUUUCUAAAUUUUUCACAACUUACGGAAAGUGUUUUCCAUCCAAAAUAAAAGAAAAAAACUUUUCUGGAAAUCAAACCAAAUUUUUUUUUGACUGGAAAAUAUUUUCUGUUGAUCAACUUUUAUAAUAACAAAUAAACAUAAAAAAUUUUUGACUGGAAAAUAUUUUCUGUUGAUCAACUUUUAUAAUAACAAAUAAACAUAAAAAAUUUUAAAAAAUGAAUCACUUUCCAAAUGUAUAUAUAUAUAAGGACAAUUUGGUACGAUGGUAAUUUAGUAUCUAAUUUUAUCUAUAGAAUUAAUUUAAGCAGGACAAUUUGGUACGAUGGUAAUUUAGUAUCUAAUUUUAUCUAUAGAAUUAAUUUAAGCAAAAAAUUUUAAUUAAUAAUAAGCCAAAAAUCAUAUACAUUGUUAAAAAUUGUUUAUAUAUAAAAUAAAAUAAAAAUUAUUGUUCAUGCCUUUUAUUUAUUUAGAAACAGUAAAAAAAUUAUAAACGAAAAACUAUGAAAAACUUUUAAAAUAUGUUUUUCCAACUAAGUAUAAAUUUGAAAAACUUAUUAACAAGUUUUUUGGUACGGAAGAUUCUCAAUUCUCUUGCCAUGCCAAAGCAUCGAAGAUGUCAACAAAAACUAUAUUUGAUUCGAGGAUUCAUUGGAACAUCACAUUUCUCUGAGAAUUUAAAAAAUUUCUAUGAAAUAAUAAAAUUUAAAAAAAAACAACAAAAAAAGGCUCCAAAAACCCAAAGGAAUUAAAAAAAUCAUACUAGAGGAUAGAAUUAAAAAAAAAUGAAAAGAUAAAAAAAGAGCAAUUUUUUUUAUUAAAUUAUAAAAAAAAAUACAAAUUUUAAUUUAUUAUCAACUUAAUAUUAACGAACAACAUUAAAUAAAAAUAUUGUAUUCAAGGAUAGAAUUGAAAAAAAAUAUAUAAAAUAUAAAAAGGAGACCAAGAAACAUAAAGGAAAUAAAAUUAAACCUAUAUUAAAUUAUGAAAUUGAAAUAAAUUAAAACAAAAAACAAAAGAGCAAGAAAAAAAAGAGUAAAAAAGCUUUUAUUGUAUGAUAAAAAAAUAUGAAAUACCAUUUAUUAUCAACUCAAUACUAAAUAAAACCUCAUAUUAAAGGAUGAAAGAAAAGAUAAGAUAAGAUUAAAAAAAAAAAGGGCAAAAAAACCCAAAGAAAAUUAAAAAAAUCAUAUUAAAUAAUAAAAUUUUAAAAAAAUAAUUUCAUAAAAAAAAUAAAAAAACUCAUAUAACAAAUAAAAGAAGUUAUGGACCUAUUACAAAAACUCAUGUGGGCUUAAGAGAGGCCCGUGGGUCUGUCUUUAUUUCUUUUUUUGAAAGAAAAAAAAAUACAUACAUGACAACUCGUGUAUCGUCUAUGGAAAUGUUUCUUCGAGACAUUAUGUUAGUUUGUCAAAAUCACUUUCCUCCACGCGCCGCUCUAUACCCACCACGUCUGCGAGCUCUUGCUGGACUCUUUCUGAUCCUCUGGACUCUUCAUUAGCUCCGCCAUGGCCCAUUCUAUUGCCGACGCCACCGUCUCUGUCCCACCAAACAUCACAUCCUACCAGAAUCAACUUAGAUUGAUUUGUAAUUCCUUCAAUUUCAUCUACCCACAAAUCAGAGAUGUGUGUGGAUUUGCACGUUAUUGAUUUUUUGUUUCAGUGGAAUUGAAACGACAAAAAAACUGGACUGCAAUAUCGAGAUCAUAUAGUUAAAUAAUACUAUUGCGUUCUGACAGCAGAACCAACGAAAAAAAAAAAACCUAACUAAAUUUCAAAUAAAAAAAAUCCAUUAAUUUAUUUUUUUAUUAUAUAAAAAAAUAAAUAAAUAAAAAUUAAAAAAAAUUAAACAUAUCUAACUUCGGCAAGUUCAACCUAAUAGCAUUUGGUCUGGCUGUCAAACCAAACCCAACACAUAUUAAAAAAGAUUUGGAUUUGGCUCUACUAAGACAAAUCCAAUAUAAAAAAUAAAAAAACAAUAUUUUUAGCAAUAUUUUUUAAUUAAAAAACAGUAAAAAUAACGCUUCCAUGUCACUAUAAUAUCAUUCCCAGUGUUGUUGAUAUUACAAUAAAUCUAAGUUUUUAUUAAAUACACAAUAUUUUUCUCCUGCCGAAUAGUAUAAUUGUAGGAACUCAUGAGCCUAGAGAUACAUAGAUUUAUAGGGAGCUUUCUUUUCCCAUUAUUUUUGUUUAUUAGCAUUGAUCUUUAAAAAUAUUGGUAAAAUAAUAUAUUUAAAAAAUAGCAUCAAACAACCGAAUACAACGUGGAUGUGGUCCUUUUGAUUUUCAACCACUCGUUUGACCAUUUUCGACCUCCCUAAUCUACCAACCCUACGUGUUGGGGUGGGAGUUCUAGCCCGACAUCGAAACAAAAGUGGGGCUACUUGAAUUAUCCUUAGAGUAUCGAGAAAUAGAAAUGCUAAAUGAAAAUUUAAAAAUAAAAUAAAAAAUAUUAUUUUAAUUUUUUAAUAUUUAUUUUAUAUGCGCUUUAAAAAGAAUUUUAAAUAAAAUAUUAUUUUAUUAUUUUUCUCAAGAUUAUCAAUUCCGUUUCGAUAGAUGUUUUGUUUUUUCAAUUGAAAUAAAAUAUUUCAGUUUUGAAGUGUUUCGACGUGCCGUUUCGAGGUUGUACUGUUCAUAUAUAUAUAUAUAUAUAUAUAUAUAUAUAUAUAUAUAUAUAUAUUCAACAAACAUAAUUCAAAUUCAAGAUAAAUUAAUUAUAAAUUAUACAAUACAAACACAAUGCCAAAUAAAUAUAAUUUCAAAAUUUAAAAUAUUUCUAAAUAAUCAAGAUUAAAUAGAUCUUUAAUUUAAAAUAAUUCAAUUUAAAUAAAAUAUCAAAAUAUUAUGAAAGUAAAAUGUUUUAACACAAAUAUUUUAAAUAUAAAGUUAGGUCAAUGUUAUCAAGGCUAAUGGAAUAUAAAGCAUCCCUUAUUUUGCUCAAAUUCCUACAAAGUAUAAACAUGAAAAACAAAACAUGAAUAUAAACCAUAUAUAUUAGUGAUAAAUCUAAUUUUAAAAAAUUAAUAUCAUUGUUAAUGAAAAUAGUAAUAAUAAUUUUCAAUAUUAUUAUUAAUAUCAUUGUUAUUGAAAAUAGUAAUGAAAAAGAGCUUUUUAUAAUUGGGUGAUUUAAUUAAUUAAAUUGAACAAGGUUCAAUUUGAUUCAAUGACUUUUCAAGAGCGAAACGGAACAUGUGGAAUGAAACCGGAACAUUCCGGGCGAAAUUUAGCCGAAAAAUCCGGAACGGACCGAGAUUUAAAAUGAGAUGAAAUUUAUUCCGUUUUGUUCUGUUUUUUGAAUUGGUAUGGAAUGUUUCGGCCAUUCCGGACGAAACAGAACAGAAUUGACAACCUUGAUUUCUCUUACAAAAAUAUCAUUCCUAUAUAUACAGUAAAAUGCUAAAAUACUGUUUAUUAGGAUUUUUUUAGUAGUUUUUUAAUUUUUUUAAAUCAAUAUUUUUUUAGUUUAUAUUUUAUAAGAUUAUACUAGUAUUUUAAUUUCUGUUAUGAGUUUAGUAAAUUCAUCUACAUUUUUUUUUAUUAAUUUUAACUUUUAAUAUUAAGUUGGAUUAUGUUUAAGAUGUGAAGUGAACUUUGUAUAUUAAAUAUAUUAAAAUACAAUUGAAUAUUUAAGAAAUCUUUUAUUAUUAAAAUAUACAUAAAAAAUUAUAUUUAUAGUAUUUAAAAAGAUAAAUUUUGAUCUGUUUGGCUCUUCUAAAUAUCUCCUUGGAAAUUCUCUGGCCGCCAACUGUGACCUUUCUCUUCCUCCAUGAGGCGGGGUCCAAGAUGAAUUAAGUAAUACAGAGUGCAUCUAUCCACCCUAUAUACUGGGAUGCAGGUGCUUACCGGCAUCAAAACAACAAUGGUAGAGACCAAGAAUCAGAAGCAUUUUGUUCUAGUACAUGGAGCUUGCCAUGGGGCUUGGUGCUGGCAAAAGUUCAAAACGCUGCUUGAGUCAGCAAGUAACAGGGUCACGGUGCUUGACCUUGCUGCUUCAGGCGCCAACAUGAAGGCAAUCCAAGAUGUAGAAACACUUGAUGAAUAUACGGAGCCUUUGUUAGAGUUUCUGGCCUCAUUACAACCGAAGGAGAAGG